AGGUGCGAUCAUACCCGCAGUAAUCCACCGGAUCCCAUCAGAACUCCGAAGUUAAGCGUGCUUCGGCUAGAGUAGUUUUAGGAUGCAUGACCUCCUGGGAUGUCCUCGUGUUGCACCCC
rnacentral:rRNA from 1 species